rnacentral:rRNA from 1 species
CACGUGGGCAACCUGCCCAAAAGAGGGGGAUAACACUUGGAAACAGGUGCUAAUACCGCAUAACCAUAGUUACCGCAUGGUAACUAUGUAAAAGGUGGCUAUGCUACCGCUUUUGGAUGGGCCCGCGGCGCAUUAGCUAGUUGGUGGGGUAAAGGCUUACCAAGGCAAUGACGCGUAGCCGAACUGAGAGGUUGAUCGGCCACAUUGGGACUGAGACACGGCCCAUACUCCUACGGGAGGCAGCAGUAGGGAAUCUUCCACAAUGGACGAAAGCCUGAUGGAGCAACGCCGCGUGGGUGAAGAAUGUCUUCGGAUCGUAAAACCCUGUUGUUAGAGAAGAAAGUGCGUGAGAGUAACUGUUCACGUUUCGACGGUAUCUAACC